rnacentral:rRNA from 1 species
ACGAACGCUGGCGGCGUGCUUAACACCUGCCCGUCGAACGUGAUUUUUGUGGAAAUUCUUUCGGGAAUGGAAAUGAAAUGAAAGUGGCGAACGGGUGAGUAACACGUGAGCAACCUACCUUACACAGGGGGAUAGCCGUUGGAAACGACGAUUAAUACCGCAUGAGACCACAGAAUCGCAUGAUAUAGGGGUCAAAGAUUUAUCGGUGUAAGAAGGGCUCGCGUCUGAUUAGCUAGUUGGAAGGGUAAAGGCCUACCAAGGCGACGAUCAGUAGCCGGUCUGAGAGGAUGAACGGCCACAUUGGAACUGAGACACGGUCCAAACUCCUACGGGAGGCAGCAGUGGGGAAUAUUGCACAAUGGGGGGAACCCUGAUGCAGCGACGCCGCGUGAGCGAAGAAGGUUUUCGAAUCGUAAAGCUCUGUCCUAUGAGAAGAUAAUGACGGUAUCAUAGGAGGAAGCCCCGGCUAAAUACGUG